ACCGCACAGGGUCAAAGCCUCCACGUGGCGUGCGGUGGGCAACGGACAACUCGCUCGUCCGGCUGAUUUGACCAU
rfam:Anaerotruncus sp. CAG:390 genomic scaffold, scf127